rnacentral:misc_RNA from 1 species
AACUUUUAGCAACGGAUCUCUUGGCUCUCCCAUCGAUGAAGAACGCAGCGAAAUGCGAUAAGUAAUGUGAAUUGCAGAAUUCAGUGAAUCAUCGAAUCUUUGAACGCACCUUGCGCCCUUUGGUAUUCCGAAGGGCAUGCCUGUUUGAGUGUCAUUAAAUUAUCAACCUUGUUCGCUUUUACGAGCUUGAGCGAGGCUUGGAUGUGAGGGCUUGCUGGCUUCCUUCAGUGGAUGGUCUGCUCCCUUUAAAUGCAUUAGUGGGAUCUCUUGUGGACCGUCACUUGGUGUGAUAAUUAUCUAUGCCAUUUGACUGUGAAGCAAAAUUAUGGGAACCUGCUUAUAACCGUCUCGCAAGGGACAAUUUAAUUGACUAUUUGACCUCAAAUCAGGUAGGACUACCCGCUGAACUUAAGCAUAUCAAUAAGCGGAGGCU